rnacentral:rRNA from 1 species
UACGGAGGUUCCAAGCGUUGUUCGGAAUUACUGGGCGUAAAGGGAGCGCAGGCGGACAAGUCAGUCUAAAGUGAAAUUCCGGGGCUCAACCUCGGACUUGCUUCGGAUACUACUUGUCUUGAGUUCGUGAUUGGAAGACGGAAUUCAGGGUGUAGCGGUGAAAUGCACAGAUAUCCUGAGGAACACCGGUGGCGAAAGCGGUCUUCUGGCGCGAAACUGACGCUGAGGCUCGAAAGCGUGGGUAGCAAACGGGAUUAGAUACCCCCUAGUCCCUGAG